rnacentral:rRNA from 1 species
GAUGAACGCUGGCGGCGUGCCUAAUACAUGCAAGUCGAGCGAACGGACGAGAAGCUUGCUUCUCUGACGUUAGCGGCGGACGGGUGAGUAACACGUGGAUAACCUACCUAUAAGACUGGGAUAACUUCGGGAAACCGGAGCUAAUACCGGAUAAUAUUUUGAACCGCAUGGUUCAAAAGUGAAAGACGGUUUUGCUGUCACUUAUAGAUGGAUCCGCGCUGCAUUAGCUAGUUGGUAAGGUAACGGCUUACCAAGGCAACGAUGCAUAGCCGACCUGAGAGGGUGAUCGGCCACACUGGAACUGAGACACGGUCCAGACUCCUACGGGAGGCAGCAGUAGGGAAUCUUCCGCAAUGGGCGAAAGCCUGACGGAGCAACGCCGCGUGAGUGAUGAAGGUCUUCGGAUCGUAAAACUCUGUUAUUAGGGAAGAACAAAUGUGUAAGUAACUGUGCACAUCUUGACGGUACCUAAUCAGAAAGCCACGGCUAACUACGUG